UACGUAGGGUGCGAGCGUUGUCCGGAAUUAUUGGGCGUAAAGGGCUCGUAGGCGGUUUGUCGCGUCGUCUGUGAAAACUCGAGGCUCAACCUCGAGCUUGCAGGCGAUACGGGCAGACUUGAGUACUGCAGGGGAGACUGGAAUUCCUGGUGUAGCGGUGAAAUGCGCGGAUAUCAGGAGGAACACCGGUGGCGAAGGCGGGUCUCUGGGCAGUAACUGACGCUGAGGAGCGAAAGCGUGGGUAGCGAACAGG
rnacentral:rRNA from 1 species